GUUAAAACGAUAAAUAAAUUUGAUUUGUAAUCAGUGGGUUGCAGGUUCAACUCCUGUCACCAGCUCCA
rnacentral:tRNA from 1 species